GGGUUGUGAGGUUAAGCGACUAAGCGUACACGGUGGAUGCCCUGGCAGUCAGAGGCGAUGAAGGACGUGCUAAUCUGCGAUAAGCGUCGGUAAGGUGAUAUGAACCGUUAUAACCGGCGAUUUCCGAAUGGGGAAACCCAGUGUGAUUCGUCACACUAUCAUUAACUGAAUCCAUAGGUUAAUGAGGCGAACCGGGGGAACUGAAACAUCUAAGUACCCCGAGGAAAAGAAAUCAACCGAGAUUCCCCCAGUAGCGGCGAGCGAACGGGGAGCAGCCCAGAGCCUGAAUCAGUGUGUGUGUUAGUGGAAGCGUCUGGAAAGGCGCGCGAUACAGGGUGACAGCCCCGUACACAAAAAUGCACAUACUGUGAGCUCGAUGAGUAGGGCGGGACACGUGGUAUCCUGUCUGAAUAUGGGGGGACCAUCCUCCAAGGCUAAAUACUCCUGACUGACCGAUAGUGAACCAGUACCGUGAGGGAAAGGCGAAAAGAACCCCGGCGAGGGGAGUGAAAAAGAACCUGAAACCGUGUACGUACAAGCAGUGGGAGCCUCUUUUAUGGGGUGACUGCGUACCUUUUGUAUAAUGGGUCAGCGACUUAUAUUCUGUAGCAAGGUUAACCGAAUAGGGGAGCCGAAGGGAAACCGAGUCUUAACCGGGCGUUAAGUUGCAGGGUAUAGACCCGAAACCCGGUGAUCUAGCCAUGGGCAGGUUGAAGGUUGGGUAACACUAACUGGAGGACCGAACCGACUAAUGUUGAAAAAUUAGCGGAUGACUUGUGGCUGGGGGUGAAAGGCCAAUCAAACCGGGAGAUAGCUGGUUCUCCCCGAAAGCUAUUUAGGUAGCGCCUCGUGAAUUCAUCUCCGGGGGUAGAGCACUGUUUCGGCAAGGGGGUCAUCCCGACUUACCAACCCGAUGCAAACUGCGAAUACCGGAGAAUGUUAUCACGGGAGACACACGGCGGGUGCUAACGUCCGUCGUGAAGAGGGAAACAACCCAGACCGCCAGCUAAGGUCCCAAAGUCAUGGUUAAGUGGGAAACGAUGUGGGAAGGCCCAGACAGCCAGGAUGUUGGCUUAGAAGCAGCCAUCAUUUAAAGAAAGCGUAAUAGCUCACUGGUCGAGUCGGCCUGCGCG
rnacentral:rRNA from 1 species